GGGGAAUAUUGGACAAUGGGGGCAACCCUGAUCCAGCAAUGCCGCGUGUGUGAAGAAGGUCUUCGGAUUGUAAAGCACUUUCGACGGGGACGAUGAUGACGGUACCCGUAGAAGAAGCCCCGGCUAACUUCGUGCCAGCAGCCGCGGUAAUACGAAGGGGGCUAGCGUUGCUCGGAAUGACUGGGCGUAAAGGGCGUGUAGGCGGUUUACACAGUCAGAUGUGAAAUCCCCGGGCUUAACCUGGGAGCUGCAUUUGAUACGUGUAGACUAGAGUGUGAGAGAGGGUUGUGGAAUUCCCAGUGUAGAGGUGAAAUUCGUAGAUAUUGGGAAGAACACCGGUGGCGAAGGCGGCAACCUGGCUCAUGACUGACGCUGAGGCGCGAAAGCGUGGGGAGCAAACAGGUUAGAUACCCUGGUAGUCCACGCUGUAAACGAUGUGUGCUAGAUGUUGGUA
rnacentral:rRNA from 1 species